rnacentral:rRNA from 1 species
GACGAACGCUGGCGGCGUGCUUAACACAUGCAAGUCGAACGGAAAGGCCUCUUUCGGGGGGUACUCGAGUGGCGAACGGGUGAGUAACACGUGAGUAACCUGCCCUUGACUUUGGGAUAACUUCAGGAAACUGGGGCUAAUACCGGAUAGGAGCUCCUGCUGCAUGGUGGGGGUUGGAAAGUUUCGGCGGUUGGGGAUGGACUCGCGGCUUAUCAGCUUGUUGGUGGGGUAGUGGCUUACCAAGGCUUUGACGGGUAGCCGGCCUGAGAGGGUGACCGGCCACAUUGGGACUGAGAUGCGGCCCAGACUCCUACGGGAGGCAGAAGUGGGGAAUAUUGCACAAUGGGUGGAAGCCUGAUGCAGCAACGCCGUGUGCGGGAUGACGGCCUUCGGGUUGUAAACCGCUUUCGCUCAUGACGAAGCUUUGUGUGACGGUAGUGGGUAAAGAAGCACCGGCUAACUACGUG